rnacentral:lncRNA from 1 species
ACAAUUAUGUGAAAAACCUCGUAUGGUGUUUGGGUUAGCCAUUUCAAAGAAUUUAAAAUACCAAAAAAUUGAAUUGAUGCAUUUCAAUUAGAUUGUUGCCAUUUACGAAAUACCUUGUUUGGAUAAUUAUUCGAGAAGUUGGAUAAAUACCCCAAUCUCUGAGUGAUCCGAGAACAGUUACAACUCAGAAAUCCACUCCACUGAUCUUAGUGGCACAAAUUAUCAGAUCUGAUCCAAGCAGACUUGACAGAGUCACUGAGUUGGGACUCGGACAAUAAAAUUUGGGUCUGAGGAAAAAGUGCACAACAACAU